rnacentral:rRNA from 1 species
CUAAAYGACUCUCGGCAACGGAUAUCUCGGCUCUUGCAUCGAUGAAGAACGUAGCGAAAUGCGAUACUUGGUGUGAAUUGCAGAAUCCCGUGAACCAUCGAGUCUUUGAACGCAAGUUGCGCCUGAAGCCAUCAGGUUGAAGGCACGUCUGCCUGGGCGUCACGCAU